AAAGAAAGAUAGAUAGAAAGAAAGAAAGAACAAAAAAGAAAGAAAGAACAAAUCAAUGAACGAGUGAUUGAUGCUUUCCUUUC
rnacentral:ribozyme from 14 species